GUGCCUAUACGUGCAAGGUCGAGCGAACAGACGAGGAGCUUGCUCCUCUGACGUUAGCGGCGGACGGGUGAGUAACACGUGGAUAACCUACCUAUAAGACUGGGAUAACUUCGGGAAACCGGAGCUAAUACCGGAUAACAUGUUGAACCGCAUGGUUCAACAGUGAAAGACGGUCUUGCUGUCACUUAUAGAUGGAUCCGCGCCGCAUUAGCUAGUUGGUAAGGUAACGGCUUACCAAGGCAACGAUGCGUAGCCGACCUGAGAGGGUGAUCGGCCACACUGGAACUGAGACACGGUCCAGACUCCUACGGGAGGCAGCAGUAGGGAAUCUUCCGCAAUGGGCGAAAGCCUGACGGAGCAACGCCGCGUGAGUGAUGAAGGUCUUCGGAUCGUAAAACUCUGUUAUUAGGGAAGAACAAAUGUGUAAGUAACUAUGCACGUCUUGACGGUACCUAAUCAGAAAGCCACGGCUAACUACGUGCCAGCAGCCGCGGUAAUACGUAGGUGGCAAGCGUUAUCCGGAAUUAUUGGGCGUAAAGCGCGCGUAGGCGGUUUUUUAAGUCUGAUGUGAGAGCCCACGGCUCAACCGUGGAGGGUCAUUGGAAACUGGAAAACUGGAGUGUAGAAAAGGAAAGUGGAAUUCCAUGAGUAGCGGUGAAUCGCCUUGAGUAUGGAGGU
rnacentral:rRNA from 1 species